AAUGCAACGUUCUAGGAAAUAUGUAGCAUCGUAUGCAAUACCUGCUAUAUACCUGUGUACGUAACACACUAUCAGUAUCUGGAUUAAUUAAAAAAUAGCGCCACGUCGAUUCGUUAAUAUAAAUGUUGCGAUGGAUCGUUCUACCGGAGCUACAGAGUAAAUUAAUAAAAUACGUUGAUACAUCAAGUUCUAUCAAAAUAGAAAAAUAUACCGGUAUAGUAAAUACGUUACAGAAGCACGGCAAUCAGAGAUUUAGAAAAAAGUGGUUUGACAAGGCGCUAUAUUACAAAAUACAUCGAUUUCUCCAAACUCCUUAAAAUGAACCUUCUUGCGCAAUUUAACGAAAAAUUGAUUUCAUAUGCCAAAAAUACGAGAAAUGGACAGAACUAUAUCGUAACGAUAAUCGUAACCAUAAUAUUAAAAAGUUCGAAACUAAAAUAAAAUUGCAUGAAAAAUAUCGAUUUAGUAAGACGUUUGCCCUGAAAACGAACGAAACGAUCGAUCAAUACGCGUAUCGAUGAGUGGCAUGGAAAACGUUAUACGUUGACGAGUUAACAGGUUAACAGUUGAGAACGUGGCAUAAUCCCACGGCAGGUGUCUUUCGACGCUAAGUGACGCGAGAGGAUCUCAAAGAGAUGCAUCUUUCCCUGGCGGAUACUCGUCGUUCUACGUCAGCGCCUCUCCGCAGCAAGUUCUCUCGAUCCUAUCAGAUCCGAUUGAUCGAUCACCGAUCGGGAGAGCAGGUAGCAGGCCGCAGACCGGCAGUAAGCAGUAGUAGGUAGUAUACCGCGAGUAGUUAGCUGCUCGAUGUUGCACCGCUGCAGCCUUGAGCCUAUUCCACGCACGAAAGCCCCCGCCGCACGCCUGGCUGCACGCUGCACUUCACGUUCAGAUCCCAGACUGACUAAGCUAACUCGAAAAAAACCGCGUCUCUAUCCGCGACAUUUGUCCGGCUGACGGUAAAUUUAGUUUUCGCGCAUCCAACUCGAUUCAUAGUUCACCCGGCUUCGUCUUUAUCUUUUCUUUACGACGUCGAUCGAGUAGCUUAUUUAUUUUCGUCUGUCAUUCAUACGAAAUCAGUUUCUACAUUGAUGAUUUUUCUCCUCUUUUCGAUCGUUUUAAAGACGAUUCAUCGUUCAAUUAUACAGGGUGGUUGGUAACUGGUGGUACAAGCGGAAAGGGGGCGAUUCUGCGCGAAAAAAGAAGUCGAAAAUAUAGAAUAAAAAUUUUUCGUUCGAGGCUUUGUUUUCGAGAAAAUCGACUUUGAACUUUCGCUCGGUACGCGCGCACUUUAUCACGUCUCGUUAUAACGGAUCUCACUGUAGAUCGUUGUCUCGGUGGAAAAAUUAAAAAAAAAAUUUUAUUCUAUAUUUUCGACUUCUUUUCUCGCGUAGAAUCGCCCCCUUUUCCGCUUGUACCGCCAGUUACCAACCACCCUGUAUAUGUAAUUUUUUGGUAGAAAGGAAGAUAGCUUGCUGGUAUAAAGCGAUACCAGUAAAUGUUAUCGAUGGUAAGAAAAAGUUUUGUUAUUACUCUGUAUCAACUUUGAUUUUAAUAUUAAUACUAGAUAUUAAUUAUAUUAAAGAGAGUAAUAUUGAUAAAAAUGGACGAUAGUCGAGAGUAAGUAAACAAAUUUUUCGUCAUCGAUAUUCAUCACCAGCCGUAAUGAUUAUCGGUAACCGAAAGAAUGUUAAUCGUCCUAAUCAAAAUUACCUGAAACAAGGUAUGAAUUCUUUUAUAUCGCAACUUUUUAACUCGGGUUUCAACAACCCUGGCUAGAAUUAACCGUCAACUGAUAUCGUCAGGCUAUUCGAGACACGUAAUGACUGAAUUUUCGAUUGCUUAAUUUCAGGAGUAUUAUCUUUAGUUUUAUUACCAGUCCUUAUCAUAGAGAAUGUACGAUAUAAAACACAAUUACGUAGCCCAAUCUUCGAUGAUCUUACGUGAAUUAUCGUAACGUGUCGUUCAACGUUACUAUAGCAUUUGAGAGUAGAAAUCCAAGUCAUACGAAACUUAAGUAAAUGCAGGGAGAGCAAAGUAUUUAACGGGCCAUCUUCUUCGAUCCAUACGCGCCCGUGACUAGCCAAAAGAUACCGUUUCGAAGAAAACGUGGCAGACUCGACGUUCGCGCGCGAAGUGCAUCUCUCAUCUCGGUUGAUCGAAUGCGUUUCGAACGAAAUCGGAACAAUCGUUUUUUCGGGCAAACGGUUGGAACGGGGGCGUGUAGGUAUCACUAUUGGUGGAUGGUCGAUAAAGUUAGAGCGAGAGAUGGGCAGUGUAAACUUGCUCCCGAUUUAGAGCCGAGCCCUUUUUACACGAAGCCAAGUAGGCCAUGCGCGAAGGAUGAUGACGGCGUGGAAAAAUAUAACAUUUUACGAACAUGCAAGCGUCGUUGGGUAUAUAUCGCUUGCAUCGGUCUUUGCGUAUACAAGCAGCCGGCGAAUCAAUACUAGAAAAUCACAGUGGGCUUCUAAAAGGAGAUCGCGAUCGUGUGACUACGGGGGAAGUAUACUCGCGAAUCGAGCGAACGCAAAUAGCCGACGAGAAUAACUUCUCGUGCGAUCCAACUUGGAAAUAAUUUCUUCCAUCGCGAUGCUUAUUUAUCGUAGUUUAUCCGUUAACCUUCGUCGAGCUACCCACGAACCUCGCUGGGGUUGACGAACCGACCGAUAACACGUAUAUAUUCCGUGUUAACCCGCACGAUAUAAAACUGCACUCUGGUGUUCCACGAUCUCGAAGGUUACUUCUUUAUUCCAUCCAUAUAAUAUGUGAUAUGUUUACUGUAAAAUUUGGGAAAUUUUGUCAAAUAAGUAAGAAACUUGCAAACAUAAAACAAUGAACCUAUUAAUCGAGAAGAUCGUCGAUUUCUUAGAAUAAUUUCUUUAUUAAGAUUCAAAGAUUAAACUUGAAGAUUUUGAUUAAGAUUAAAGCGUGGCAAAUAAGAUUGCGGAUCUGUAAUUUAUUAGAAGAAUGUCCUUCGAUCCAUCGGGUUAUUCUCCUCUUCGCUCGUUUCAUUUUGUCGAAAUAUCUUUAACCAGCGUGUGAUAUCAAAAUCAGAAGUUAACUGCAGUAAACGUCAUAUUUUUCUCAUAUCUCGUGGUCUUUGAUCGCAGUCGCUGAAUAUUCGUUGAGAUAUUCGAGAUGCAAAAAUUUUAAGAGACAGAUUUAAGUCUCAACGAACAAAGAAGUUUAUGAAAACGAUAUGGAAAAGCCAGCGAUAAGGUGAUCAGUGACAAUGACUUACUAAACACCAAUUACAAUCUUUUCCAACGAAUUUUUCCCUCGUUACUUAAAAAUUAUACAAACUGUCAGAACUAUUAUCGUAAGAACCUUCUAUGCUUGCACAGUUGUAUGAAUCGAAGAUUUCUAAAACCUUGGCGAUUUUCCGAUAACAGGGUUCGCGUAGUGGGAAGUAGGAUGUGCGUUACGACGCGAAGUUUCACGGGCGUGAAACGAUCGAGCAAAAAGCUGGGUUGGUGCGGUGGCCACGGCGUUAAGUGGAAUGAUCCAGAGCGCAACUCGGUCAGACGCGAGGCAUGCAUGAGCGAAUAUAAAGUAGUAGCUAGCGAUAGCUGUACGGGCAACGCUAGGCUGCGAGGGCGACGAUUUCGCAAAAAUUAAUCGCGGCCAUAAAUUUAUCGCGUUCCUAUCGUGAGAAUCGCGGUGUUCCUCGGGGCGCGUACCUGUGGCUUGCGAUGUAAAAGCGGAAUCUAGGCCGAUAUAAAUAGGCUGACACACCACGGAAUAACAGGUAGCCUUAAACGCCGCAUUAACAGCGUGGAUACAUUCGAGAAAGAGCUGGUUGCCGCAUACGGGCAUUUCGAUGCUUAGCUGUGGUCAGUUUUCCGGGUUACGAAGAAUCCUUGAAUCGUGUGUCAUACAUAGUUAACUGUUGUUAUUGGGUCAUAUACGAGUAGUAAGAUAUGAUUUCGCGUAUAUUUCGGUUGGGUUACUUGGUAGGGUUUUGAGAUGAGUAUUAAAAUUGUUCUAUUCUGGAUACGAAUGAAUUAGAAUAUAAUAAUUACGAUAUAAGCGUUUCUUACGUUUUUCAUGUCAGAUAUAAAAUAUGUAAUUUGAUUUUCACCUCGAGUGAUAAAUUUUUAUAUUUAUAGGUAUAAUCGAAUUUGGACGUGCCUUUAAUAAUAAAACGUGAAAUUCACAGCCAUUUAUUAGAUUUCGACAGGCCGUGUGAAUUUUUCUAGAGUUACGUCGCGAAAAAUUUCAUUUCAAUUCUCUGCAGCCUCGUUCUUCCAUUGUAAUAGUAACGAUCGUCACGAAGAAUUGGUGUAGUUCCAAUGUAUCAAUUAAUUACGACUCGUAGGUCAUGUCGAUAAGCAAACAAGCAAAAAAGAAUUGUUUAUAUAUUAUAAAUGUAUGAAUAUAUAUAAUUUCCAAUUGAUAUUUCGUAUCUUAUUCGAGAAAUCCUUCCGAUGAUCUGUAUCACAUAAAAUACAGGAUACGAAUUAAAGUAAAAUGAAGCAACUUAACCCAAAUGCUGAUAUGAGUCAUCUACGAUCUAACGAAAUGAAACGAGAUUCGAUACAGCUAUAGGAAAGGAAACGUUUAGCAAGAUGUUGUAACGUUAACGAAUGUGAGUCGUCGUGAUUUAUAUUAUAUGAAAACAGUAAGAAUAUGAUAUGAAAACUCCGAUCUUUUUCUUCUUUUCUUUCCUACCAUUCGUCUUCCUGUUCUGUGUGCACGCACAACGAGCACACGUACCGAGAAUUUGCCGGAGCAACGCGUUUCGCUUCGUUGCGCGCAUCCACGGUAGCGUAUAUGCGUUGCGAGCAGAAGAAGAAAAAAGAAAGAAGCCUGCCACUAUAAAACUCCCGCUGGUUAUGGUCCGCGCUGUCCUAAUUCUGCCGUGUACUCAAAGAGCUUCCCUUUUCAGCAGGAAUGAAAAGAAAGGAAGAAAAAAUUACGGUACGCUCGCGCGUAAAUAAUACUCAAUUACGAACCAACUUGCUCCGUGUCCUUUAUCAUACGGGAUUUUACUUAACUCUACGUUUAGCCACGGCGAUUGAUGAGAAUCGAAUAACACGGAGAUUUUUUCAAAUCUUGUUACGCUAUAGCGAGGUUUAUCGUUAGUUAAAGUAAUCAUAUGCGUAUGUAAUAUAUAAUAAUAGUAUAUGUAUUUUGCAUAUCAGAUUAAAGAAAUUGUCGGAAAUGCGUAAGAAGUUUUAUUGAUGUUUAAUUGACGAAGUUAAGCAGUUAUCAAUAAUACGAAGCCAGUAUGAAUGUCCUAGAAUUGAUCGUUAUUUAUGUCAUCUCGUUGCAAUAAAUGAUCUUAUACAAAUAUAUAAACCCGCGUGAACCCUUUGUUUCUUGAAAAUCGGACAAUAAUCGUGUGUUUGUAUAAUGAAAUUAACUUGGACUAAUCCAUACGCCGAAGAAAAAAGCAAGAAGAAAAGAAAAGACAACGUGAGACAACGCGUAGCGGCACAAGAGCUAGAGGACAAUUGAAAUCAUGUUGUUGUUUUGCCUCGGAGUAUCAAUAUCGUUAGGAUACACAUAAUAUAAUAAUAAAUAAACUCCGGGCAAAACAAUACCGCCGCUACGUACAACCGUCAAACAAACUCGAAUUCAAAUUUUCUGGCUCUCCUCCGACCCAGUAUAAAUAAACGAACGCGUUCGCUAGGCGACCAGUUUUUGAUCAAUGAGUCGCGCGAUUCAAGUUGAGUUACCAACGAGUUAUCAGUCAGUCGUGCGAAUCAAUAUCAGUUAUCAGCGAUCUUAUUAGCGAUAUAUACACUGUCUUUAGCAAAUCAGUUAGUAAGAGCGUCUUAGCGAAUAUUGUCUGUACUUAUUUAUUUAUUAUUUUAAAAUACACUUGACGCUUUUAACAUCGACUUAUCUCGCCGUUUAAAACACACUAUCAACCAUCCUCUACAAACGCGUUUUGCUCCGGUGCACUUAGCUACCUUUGUGUCCGUUUCUCUCUUCCCCUGAGUCCCCCCACCAGGGAGAGACAAAAAGGCGGACAGCAUAAAACCCCUAGCACAGUGGCGUGGUCUGCCUAUCGGUAUAUAUCGGCUCUGUCCCAAUUCCACAGAGUAUUGUGUCACUCGAUUUUACUUUGCCACACGACGACGAUGACGCUCGCUCUCGUUUUUGCGUAUUUUAUGCGGGGCAUUAAUGCACCGGGAGCCGAUGAUGCUCGAACGAUACGCACAUACGUUCGUUAUGGACGCAUGUACGUUAACGAUGGGCUCGAGUAACAAGUACAUCGCAAGUAGGUUCGUACGCUGGCCGAAUAUAUUCGCACUCUCUAUAGGUAUUUCGGGGAAGAGAAGUAUUUUUAAACAGAUGUGAACAUAAACGCGACAGGUCCGAUCGAACGAGUACCUUAAGAAGUGGGGUAAGCAUUCGAAAGUAGAACCGAACAUUUAUCGAAUAAGUUCGAAACUUUACGAGCAUCUUGCCAGGAAUUUCUCAUUCUCUUCAAAUCAUUUCUCUUGGCUACCGUUGAAAUUCUUUGUUCUGUAAUAAUUGGCUACAUCAAUCUUGUAAAGGUAUAAAUAGAAUACAUAGUGUUUUUCUGAAGCUCGUGACUCGAUUAGUCACGUUGUUAUUAAUUAUUUAGUAGUUAGUAAGAGUAUCGAUUCGUUUGAAUGUCUUAGUGCUUGUAAGUAGAUUUUUGAAACUUGCAAGUAGCCAUUCUGAAGCUCGAGAACAGUUUGCGAAGAUCGGAUACUUGGCAAGUACAAUGAAUGAGCCAUUACGUAUUACGACUAGUACUCGAAUCCUUGGGUAUUGCAAUUGGUUCGGUUUUAUAAAUACAUUUUGAACUUUAUCCCGUCACCAGUAUAUAUACAACAACGAGGACCUCUAUCCUCCCUUCAUCGUCAUCAACGUCUGUUACUGUCUCUGUAGAAUCUACGUAAAAAUGACUCGUGUGCUCACCGAGCCAACGAAUAGACGUCUAGCGUAGGUUAAUCUCCUGACUUGCCUGUUCCACUGUCGCUCACCUAUCUCAACUGACCCAUAACCGAUGUAAUUCCUACGCGUAACGCGUUACACGGCUGUGUAACUGCGCGUUACGCUGUUCUACUCGCGCGUCCUUUAAUAACCACUAUGUUCAGAGAUGGAUAACGAACCGUGCUGCUUGUUCAAACUCCAAGAAUACGUUACUGAAAUUUUUGACCAAUAAUUCUUACUCUAAAAUAUAGCAGAAUUAAAUUUUAAUACUGCUACGCAACAAAUAAUUAACUCAUUAGAGUGCUCCAUGCCCCAUUUCAUUUGCGAUACUUUUUCAAUCGGUUUACAUUAUCGAAUCCUGUUUUUUAGCAUUGCAGCUGUGAAAGAAAAAUCUAAGGUUUCGCUUAAUACUUAUCUCCUUGUCGUUCCUCCUGCCUAUCGAUUAUUUUACAAUUAUGAAACAACAAAUUAUUUUUAACAACAAAUAUGAAAUUUAAAGAAAUUGGCGUAUUUGUAGCAUUAUGAUAAACCAUUUCUUGGUCCUUGUCAGGUUCACUUCUAACAUAUCGAGAUAGUAUCGUCGGGGAAUCUCAAUACGAUCUUUCAGCCCUUUCAGCCAUUGAAAGAAAGGUAUUAUAGGAACGGCUUGUCUCCACGACGAAUUCAAAUAAGUAAAAUUCUAUUAGCCUCCUUCAACGAUAUAUAUACCAACGAUGUAUAUAUAUAUUUACAUACAUAUAAAACAAGUAUGGAAAACAUUUAAUCGUGGUAACCGUAAUUUCGCAAGAAUGUCGAAUAAGAAAAUGGGGCACGCAUCCGAUAUAGAAUACGAUAUAGAGCAAAAGAUGUGUGGGUGUUGCCGGCCCAUAUAGCUUAUUGAUCGUUUAACCGCGCUUAUACCACGAACGAAUUAUCCAAAAGGUUGGUCGACGAGAAGCUUACACGUGAAAACCGUGGAUCGGAAAAAGGCUAGACACAGGAGAGCCAUGCGACGAGCAACUACUCUUUUCCCUCUUGCCGUCACGCGUAAUCUCUGCAGUGUAUCUCGAGUUUCUCGCGAGGCGUACGUACGCGGGCGUAGGUCGUUCCGUGUGUAAGCUCCAUAAAGGCGUCACGCUCCGUAAGCAGAGCCCUCCUUGAUCCAAAUUCCAACCUGGGGUUGGAGGUUGAGCGAUUCAAUCUGGCUUUAAUGUGUUCACACUGGACAACGCUGCUGCUGCUGCUGUUGGUCGGUACGCGUUGAACUGUGAACCGCUUUCACCCGUUUUAUUUUUUUCCAUUCCCGAAUCGAUUAACAAAGGGAAUUUUUCACGUGGCCGCUUGACGCUGGUAGGAAAGAGGAGGAAGAGGGAACGAAGGAGGAAAGAAGGUGGGGAGAGGCUGUGUGUUGCAAGCGCCGCUCACGAAUCGCUCCGUGAAAUAUUUCACGUACUUCGAGCCACGUGUUUCCGAAGAAAGCGCCGUCCUGGAUCGAAUCGAUUCGAAACCAGACUUCUAGUUCGGGGAAAACUACGUUUCUACUUAAACCAUUAAAUCGAUAAUAACGUUGAAUUCCCCUUUCGCUAUGCCAUAUCCUAAAAAUAACUCAAAGAUUCACGUUUCUUAUGGUUUCUUUUAACCAUGUAGAGAUACGUAAUCAACAUGUACGUGUAGUCAUUGCCGGAUCGCGAUUUCAAUUAUUUCGUAGAGGUAAAAAUAUGACGAUAUUGAGAGAAGAGAAUGGAAAGAAUUGGUAGAAAGAAAUGUAUCGAUGUCGUAUACUAUGUAUUGUAUGUAUAAUAUAUAGGUGAAGUGCGAUUUGGGCUCGAAGUUUGGUCACGAGAGAGGAGGAACAGAAGCCAGACAGAUAGACACGGCCAGGUAAAACUCGGCUCUCUCGUUUCGUUUCGGCUCGUCACGGACCGGUGCCCUGUUAGCUCUCUGCCCUUGACACAGUUCUCCCCGCGAGAGGAGCGCUCUUGCUGUGUUACGAACUCACGACUCUCUCGGCUCCGUGUGGUGGACCGAGGGCGCCUCUGUCUCUCUGCUACACCUCGACGCAUAUGCCGUCCCGACGACGCGUCGCGUCGCGUCGCGUCGUAUACGUUUCAAGCUCGGUUUCCACUAGCCCUCGCGGGACGCUCCAGUGACGCCAGUCCCCGCCAGCGAAUGUUUUUUUUUUUUUUUUUUUAUUUCUUACUGUAAGAUUAAAAGAUCUACAGGGUAUGUAAUGUGGCAACAAAAUUACAAAAUAAACGAUGCAAAUGAAAAAUCACGAAAUUUCGUAAAAUUGUUGCAUAACAAUUUUCAUGAAAGACUUGUGAAAGACUGAUGAAAUACUUUCGUAAUAACGAUGAAGUAUAUAUGCAGAGAUUUAUUUAAUACUGUUAGGUAUUUUGGCGCGGACUUUGUGCGAAAUUUUUUGCGACAUAGUAUUUUGGUGGAACAAUUAUCGGCAUGUAACGUAUCGAAUGAAAAGUUCGUCACUUUAUAAUAAAUAUAAAUUGUAAUGACAAAUUGUUUCUAAUUUAUGUCACGAAAUGCGAACCUGCGAGUUGGUAUAAUCAGCCAUUUGUCAAGUUAAAAAUAAUAGAAAAAUUAUUUAACGAUCUUAUGACAACCAAUGUAUUUGAAAUAUUCGGAAGAACUUGAUGGUUCGUUUUCUGGAAUAUUUAACUUCAGAUAAAAAUGAAACCAUCAAGUCAAAAAAUUCUCCGAUAUAAAACAAGAAACAUAUAGCUAUAUGUUCCUAUAGCGUUCGUCAAUUUUACUAUAUUAUAUAACAAAUUAAAGUUUAUAAAAAAAAUUGCGCCACCCUAUGAUCCUCAACCUAAUUCUUCAAGGCUACUUCGCUGCCAAACUUCGCUGCAUUCUACGUUAUAACGAAGUUUGUACCAUGUACGUACUUCGACGCGCUUCGAACGUUUGGAUGCCGCGCCGUGCGGAUCAAAGCGGACGCGAGCUCCAUUAUUCGACGUGCUCACGUAAGUUCACGUUCGUGCACACGCCCGGUUGCCAUGCGUUGCACGGUUCUGUCCAAUGAAAACGUGCACGAGAUUACCGGGCCCGAAGAGAGAGAACAUCGCCAGGGUCCGUGCGAGUAUUUCGAAACAGGCGUAACUAAAUGUUUAUCCGUCUCUCUGCACCCGUUUGCCACGUUCUCUUACGUUUCUCCAAGAACAGACACGAAAUCACUCACGGAUUACGAUUUCGGAUGGAUUUCAUUUGAGAAAGAAGCUGACGUUCGUCCCACGAUCUCGCGAUGAACAUUAUUCCGAUCGCGUCUCGUUCAUUCGAACGAAUUCGUUGGUCAGCAUUCUUUUUAUGGAAUGUCUGUCUUUAUUGGCCAGCCUGGGCUAUUUCUUCUUUUCUCGGCCGUAUUCCAGUUGAUUACAAUGAAGUACACCAGAUAGAAUAUUGACGAAUAUUAUCGUCAAUCGGGUUGUGAUUUUCGUCCUUGUUAACACGUGUUUGGUCAUUGAUACGGUGCAAUUCUCUGUCUACGAAGGCUUGAUCGCUUACAAUAAAUAAAGUUUUUCUCAGCGCGAGUAAUCGCGACUUUAACGAGAAGAUUUCGUUCUUAUCCUCGAAAUAGAUUUAAGGACGAUUUACUAUCACACAAGGGAAGCGAAAACUUGUUCGCAUCGUUCAGUCUGACUACAGUUUUAGAAAUACAUAUUUAUAUCUUUAUGUUUGCACAUUGCGUAGAUACGUCGAAUCAUUUUGCAUAGAAUCACCUUUUUUCUUUCUUACUUGCACCACGUGAUUCGACUUAAGUCUGCGCGUAUGUCAUUUUAUUAUCCGCUUUGGAAUACGCGAACAUUUGGCUCGCAAAUAGAAAUCUGUCUGCGAAGCGCACGCGUUCUGCAUGGUCAUCUUGGUUUCUUUGAUCUACCUACUUUGUUAUAGCGCAGUUAGUUUAAGAAUAUAGUUCCGCUUCCUCGAUGAUCGACCGUCCGUUUAAAAUAAUUUGAAUUAAAAGAUCGAGGAACAACAAAUGUUCUUAUUACGAAAUAUUAUUACCAAGUUUAUGAAUCGGAAUAACAAUAGGUCCAACUGAGGUUCACGAUACUCAUAAAGUAUAUUCUAUAGACAAUAGAAAAUACCACCAGAGUCUGUAUAGAGAUUUCUGUAUGUUCUUCGCGUACUUGCGUGGAGUGGCAACAUUUAACUCGGAACAACGCGGUAUUUAACAUAUAAAAAAUGUAUAUAAAACAGGAGAAUAGGGGUGCAUCGUGCGUCGACACGCUUCACGCGUGAACACCUGCGUGGAGAGACGGAUGUGUAAGAACGGCAUAUGGAGAAAAGGGGACGAUCCAACAAUUACCCUGGUUCUACCUGCUCGUUAUUUUAACCUUAAUUUUACGAUUAUUCCUCCUUUAAUUCACUCGUUGUGGAAAUUAACCCUUGUGCCCAACCCUCUUCGAAUUAUUUUCAAUUUAAUCGCGAAGUCCUUAACACAUUGCGGGCCAGACGUUUUAUUGCUGACCAUACCCAGCAAACUUUUGCCUCAAAUACUUUCAAAUUAUUUACAGUUUGUUAGUAGUUUCUGACUCUUCAAAAACCUUCUAACUCUUUCUACCGCGUCUUUUGUUACUGCGUUCUCAACGCUCUCGACAGAUACACAGAAAACGCAAAAUAUCUCGUCGUCGGUCCAUAAUGCGUUAUAAUAUCAAUAUGACGAUAUUAAUAGCAUUAUUUGUCGCUUUAAAUUGUACCACAAAAUUUCUCUGGGAACAUUAACCUUUCAACAGUCUAAUAAAAUAAUAAGAAUCCGCAAUGAACGAUUUUGAAAACAUUUGUCGCCUUAUCUUCAAUGUUUACUAUAUUCCCGAUAACUGGACACAAAGACCACAUAUUUUCCAUUCUUAUGGAACAAUUAUUGAUAAAUAUUAAUAACUGCGUUACGCAUGAUAGUAUUUAAGAUGUGAAAUUUAUAGCACGUGCUACACGUUCUACGCUGUAUACUACGUAUUGUAUACCAUAUAAUACGUAUUAUAACGUUGUAUACUUGUUUGUAAAAAUUCCAAGAUUACAGCAGCGUUGAACGUUAUAGUAGCUACCGAUUACCAUCCGGUGUGGUCCGAUAGAAAAAUGAAAAAAACUAACGCGACUCUGUGGCAUAGACGAUACGAUUCAGGUAGUGGAAGCAAGCGGCAGUAGCACACAUGUGUGGAACAACAAGUCGCGAAAUUAUUCAGGACAGGUAGAGUAACGUGUAAUGGCUGCGUCGUGAGCAGUAUUUCCCAUCAGUAGAUAAGUACAUUCAAGGUCAGCCGCAGUGCAGCAGACCGUUUCAACGUUACACGCUUUCCCCGCCGGUGGUUCUUUAUCGACUGUUUAAGUCAAUAAUCGGUCAACACGCGAUACAUACGUAUGUAUCAAACGCGCGCAAAUAUCGUGCCAACCGGAACACUCUGUUCUCAUAAGGGGUGGAAACCGUCGCGUGACGUUUAUUAAAUUUAGACUCUGUUGUAUGAUUAACCCGUGCGACGUCUUUGCAAGUUUUGCAUUCUGAACGCUUUGUAAUUCGAUGACUUUGUACGUAAGCUUGCAGUUCUGCUGUGAGAAUUUUGAACUAUACCAAGCUCUAAUGUAAUAUAAAUUAAUUUAUUAUUAUUUUUUUUUUUUUUUUUUUUUGAAUCAAUAACGUUACAUGUGAGAGACGAAGUUGACCUUUGUACGUUCUUUACACUUCCACCUGUAGAAAAAGUAGUAACAUCAAAUUACCCACUUCUUCGUGUCAUUCAACUUUUGUUCGAAACAUUUUUCCACGCGUCAAGUGAUCGUCGAGUUACCUGAAGUUACCAAGUUAGGAAACUCAAGCUGCACAAUGUUCUCUAGUUUGACGUAACGUUUGCCUGCCACUCUAUUAACAACCGCUUGAUCUCACUACUCCGAGAUAUUCUCCCUCGAGUAUACUCAUAAAUUCUCUGUCCAAGAGAAUGACAGCUUCCCUUUUCCUGACUUUGAGUAACUUCUUGAUUUCCAACAUCAAGAACAUUGUUUUCUUACGCCGACUCGGGGGACACUGUAUUUCCAAUAGCAUUCGUGUCACCGUAUCGUUAAAAAUCUCACAGAUUUACUAUACUUUUUAUCGCAGAUUCCUGGAAACGUCACCCACGCAAACCAAAAUGCUGCCACGCAAAAUUACGACGAAAUCGCAUUAUUCAUCUGUACCAGCUUCCGACGCCUGUACAAGGGUCCUCUUCUUGCAAGCGUUGAUGGCGCAGCCAUUCAAGCGAAAAUCAAGUAGAGUUACGAAACGGUGGUUGUUACAGUACCACGCUAGAAUGCCGUAGGAACGAUCGUGGAUCGCAAUUUUCACACCGUGCCGAGUCGUAUCAGGAGGAAAGGGUCGAGCUGUCGUUCCGAGGCGUCGAAUCGUUGCGCCCCGUCGGCGCGCAAGAAUGGAACACACGAUUUGUUCAAUGGCUCGACGAUAAGCCAUCCGAUUACCAUGGACUAUUUACACGAGCUAUCGCGUCGCGAAUCGACUUAUUUAUAUCGUUCAAUGUUAAUUCGUUUGUUCGUCAUCUCGAACAACGACACAGUCGUAACCGGGCAUCUUCGUGAAAAAAUUCCAACUGCUAUUUAUCCACAGCAGCUCGCACAAUAUGUGUAUGUAUACAUAUAUUGUAUAUAUAUAUACGUGAAUAUAAAAGUGUGUGUAUACAGAUAUAUGCGAGUGAAAUGAUGUAUUUCAGGAAAUUAUAGGAAAAAGUUGUCACCGUAUGAAAAGUUGGGCGAUAUAAAUAUACAUAUUAUCGAGUGCACGGUUGCACAGAGGUAGAAACACGUGGCAACCCACGAACGACCUAUUUCCAGGCCAGCUCGUUUUCCACUGAUAUAACUUGGAAAACGAAUCGCUGCAGCGAUCGGGCCUCGAUUCUCCGCUGAGCUCGAUGACAACGAGCCCGUCUCCUGAGACAUUUCGUGUGCACGAAAUUCGUCGAUGCCCAAACGAGAUUCUCGCGUUUAACCACGUAUCUGGUGCUGAGAGACUCGUAGGUCACCGAUGUGUGACGACCGAAAUUUCUUACCAUAGUUUAUCGACACUUUAACCUUCCACCUGACCCUCGGCCAUCGAAUUAGGAUUGCAUGAAAGUUGUGAUUUUGUGAUUUGAAUUAUGGAUACUAUGUCAUAAAUGGCAAAUUGUUCUCGGAUCUGUCGAUAUUACUAAAUAUAACGUUUAGAAAAAAUAUUUCCACGUACUGUUAUUUUCUAAUGAAUUGCUUUUUAUCAACUUCUAUAUAUUUUAUUGCAGUGGUAUUAAAUUUGUGUGGCCGUAGGCACUGCUAAACGACGUGGAAUUUAAUAUGCUUGCACCUAAUUAAUUAAUAUGUAAAUGCUAUAAUAAAUGCAAUACACGUUACAACGCAUGUUAGUGUGUGUAUAUAUAUUUUAAUAUUUCCCUAUACUAAAUAACUUUAUUUAUAAUCUUCCCAACUCAAAGAUUUCGUCAUCCAUACCACUCCCUCCCUGAGUAAUCAAUAAAUUAUCCCUCCCUACCGAUCGAUAAACUUUGCUAUUACACAGUCCCCUCGCACCUUUCAAUUUCACUAAAAAUACUACAAAUUUUAGUGGUCCUAAUUCGAUAGCCAGGGGCUGUAGUUGCGAGAGUCGGCUCGGCUCGUCUGCAGGCUUAACCGUGUCACGAUUUAAAGGUCAGUCUCUUUCCACGUACAGCCAACGAUCGAAGAUCUUGUCUCGAGCUUUCGACUAAUAACAGGCUACGAAAAGGCUUUUUCUCUAGGUUCGUCGAUGCUAAACACCGCGCUGCUCCUUAACAAUGCAUCGUCAAUGGUAAAUUUAAUCCUUCGUUCGUCGAGAAAUUGCAGGCUCGACGAUGGAAAAGCAGUGUAUGCUGACGAUAAAACCGCGUUUACGUACGAUUCUGGUCCGCGUUUGGCCGCGCGAAUAGAUCGAAUUUCGCGUGCAAGUGACUUUAAAUCGAAGGACUCGCAGGCGAUGUUAAGGGUGGAAAGCGCGGAACGAAGAAAGAGAGGAAGGAAGGUAGGAAGGAAGAAAGGAAGAAGCGAUGGAAUGAGGUCGUGUUAAAAGUGGGCCAGGUUUACUCGGUAACUAUGUCACCGCUAUUGAUCUGUCAUCCACCCACAACCUUCUACCGCACCACUUAUCGUCGGCGUAGUCUAACAGAGCAAACUGUUGCGAUAGUUUAUUUUCAUUUCCUGUCCAUAUUUCCUGUAUAAUCUAUUCCCGUCAAUUCAUUUCAUCAUCGUCACGCUGUUCCUUUUACUCGUUUACUACAAACUUGACAAACUCAGCAUUAGGCUCGACCAUGAAUUUUUAUUAUACAGCUUGGAAGCUACGUACGAUUCUGUGUAUAUAUUAUUGAAAUCUUAUUUUAUUUGCUUAUUAGCCGAAUGUUACACUUUAGCAACACAUCUAUACGUAUCAAUUAUUUAUUCGUAAAUUUCAAAGUGUGUAGAGAACGCGAUGUAUCGUUAUCCGUUUUGAGACGCGUGAAGACUUUCUUUUUUUAAACCAGUCCGCUCCUUUUACUGGUACCAUCAAGUUCAAUUUUUCCUUUGUAGAAACCUAUUAGAAGAUGGGUAAAUAGUUUAUGGAUUUAUAAUAGAAUGAAUUAAUUAAUAUAAUAUUUCGCAUUUAAGCAUUUAUUCUAUAUAUUCAUUUUUCUCGUAUUUAUUAAUAUAUUUAUCUUUAGUACAGAGAUUUCCCAGAGGCUUCUCGAUCGUUGUACUCGUUAUACAAGAAAAUAUACUAUAAUAUAUACAUUUAAAAAUAAGAAAAUUAAUUUGAAAACAUCAAUUUUUAAGUUCCCGAUUCUAGUUCUAGUUAACGGAUUAAUAAAUAAUAUCCUAAGAAUGGAAGAUACCAGCUUUAAGUAGCUACGUAAAAUGUUAUAUCUACACGCCACGAAGUUUUUGGAAGUCCAUUGUCGUACGUUCCAUCUAUUGGUCAACGAGCAUUCGUAUGUCCUGCUUACGCAACGGGCUUGGGACUCGAUUUCACUAUUUCGGAUUAGGAACGAACUUGGAACAGCUUUGUAGCGACACAUGAGCUACAAGACAAUUCAAAUCAUAUUGCUGUUUUGCCUCGGAGUAUCAAUAUCGUUAGGAUACACGUAAUGUAAUAAUAAAACAAUGUCGCCGCUACGUGCAAUCGUCAAACGAAGACGAAUUCGAAUUUUCCGGCUCUCCCCCGACCAACAUAAAUAAACGGACACGAUCGUAAGCAGUUGAGUAUCUAUCAGUUACCAACGAGUUAUCAGCGAUCUUAUUAGCGAUUUACACUGUCUUUGGCGAAUGUGAACGUCUCAGAGAAUAUUGUCUGUAUUAAUUUAUUUAUCAUUUUAAAAUAUAUCUGACGGUUACAACAGCGAGUUAUCUCGUCAUUUAAAUGAACACUCCACUAACUAUCCUCUACAGCUUCUUUGGUAAUACCGGCCGCGGUACUACGAAACACUCUUCCGACUACUUAACUAUGCCCUGUAACUCUUACCUAGUUUCCUAAUUGUACGACUCUCCAGCUUUCUCUAUAUUCCUUUUUUUUUUUUUUUUGGUCGUUGGUCAUCUCGAGACUACUUCAACCCUGCCCCACCCUCGUCACAACCUAUCGACCCUCGUACGACCGCUUUUCAUUCUCUCUCUCGAAAACGGGUUAACGCGAUAAACCGUCGAACACGGCUGCGCCGUUGUUCCGUUUAUACGAUACUUUGCAUACAUAUGUAUAACGCUAUACGCUCGCGGAUACCUACAGUCGUAGGCAAAAAUAAGUGGACAGAUAGUGGAAGUAGGUAUCAAUGAAUUUUAAUACGUACGAUGCGACAGGAUUUUUACGUUUCCUACCAUCUGCCACGAAGAAGAUCGAAAAACUUUCUUUACUUGAUUUUACUUAGAAAAUGAAUAAAACGCGCGUUACAUCGUUUGGAAAUAUUAAAAAAGAAAAACGAUACAUAUGUCGAAUAUUUUCGUCUGAAAGGCUCCCUUCUUCUUGAUGCACGAAUCUAUGCUGUAUUUGUUAAUCAAAUUAGUACCGGGUUAGUGUUAGGUUUUAUUUGUUAUACAUCCGUAUAAUACAUAGGUCGUUUAAAUAAUCUAAACUAGUAUUUACAUGUUUGUAGAAACAAAGUUUAACGAAACACACGGUAACUCAGUAUACUUCCGUUAUCUAUCCGUUUAUUUUUGUCCACGACUGUAUAUCCUAUCAAGAGGUCUUAUGUACGUAACAGAGAUGAUAUUCAUUAGCAACGGUCCACGUUACUUCUCUCUGCGUGAGGUUUCUACGAGAUCUGUUUUUCCAACCACGCUCAAAGUCCUCAGAAUGUUAACGUGGCUAAAGAUAGCGUGGACGAAGAUUGAGUUGUAUGUAUUCAGAAGAGUGUAAUAUAUUCCUUACUCUUUUUCUUACUUGUCCUUUCUUUAGAGUAUUAGCGCGACGUAGUAGGUGUGAUUUUUUGCGACGUGCGUCAGCCACAGCGGGAACACCGUUUUCCAUGACAUAAGUGUUCCAGUUUACAUACCGCGUCCUCAACAAGUCGAGACUCGCCUUGCCGCGCGUUUGAGGCAGGUCGGUAAUGUUAGCGAACGCUACAUAUCGCGCAAGCUGCAUUACCUUCGAUCCGACCGUCUCGAUAUGAAACGAACAUCGAGAGUCGAGAGUCCGGUGACGAGCCAUCGGCCUUAAUGAGGGAAGAUAGCGAAAACUGGUUUUCGAGUCCCGUGGAACAGAAAUUGAAAGUCAUCGGCGCGAUUCCCAAUGAGUAAGAGAAUAUACGAGAGACUUCGUCGUAAAAUAUUUCGACUGUAAGCGUGUAAGCGUGUUCCUAGCAAAACAAAAGUAAUUUUUUUCCCAAGGAUAAUUAUUUGUAUAUUUUCAGUAUUUUUAAUCCGCGUUUGGUAUCGUUAGGGACAACGAUAUUCCCCUUCUUAGUCAAAGUGUCUUAUUUACGUAUAUCAUUUCGAACAUGAAAAGAAGAAGGAAAAAGCUGACGCUUUGUCAUUUUCUUUGCGACGUCUUUAUUUUACUUGGUUCGAUUUUAAAUAUUUGAUGGUCAUUUCGUAAUAGCUUAUAUAAUAUAACUUUACUUGCGAGGAACUUGAAGCAUUUCAACGUAUUCUGAAAACUGGUGAUAAAAGACCGAACAAUUUCUGUUCAUUGAGAUCCUAAUGCAUCUCACAUUCUCACGACUCGAUCAUUCCUAAAAGCAUCUUCAUCCUCGACUCGUUCCUCGCUUGUUCGAACGAACCUGACCUAAAAAUCUUAUUAACAGUUCACUGUAUUGAAACAGCAGAAGAUGCGAAUAACGACGCGGAAAUGUUCUCUAACAAUGUUCACAAGAAAUGCUUCCACAAGCAAGAAAACAUUGCUCUACCUAACGAUAACGAUGUACGCAUAAUUGCAAUAAAGGCAAAUCACUUUGAGGCGACCAUUGCAAAAUAAAAUAGCAUUUUCUAAUUCCGUUAUUAUCGUCGUUAUGACAAUGUUCUUGGUAAUGGCGAGAUUUCCGUAUAAUUGCUAAAGGUUAUUACUUUGAAGGGAUCAUUGCGAUAUAAGAUAACGUCUUCUUGAUAAUUCCAAGAUCCCCAACAUUUGCUCGUCCAGAUCUAAAUUUCGCGGGUGAAAACGUUUUGAUUUGGCAGCGUGACGGACGAGCAUCGGCUGGAUCCUGCCCUCCACUGAGUAUACACGUCUGCGUCGAUUGUCUCGUGAAGCGGUCUCGUUAAAACGGCACGGCGUUAAGUGGAUGUUAUUUUUAGAUCAGACACUCGAGUCAAACCGUUCGGGUAAUUCAGUGGCAACGGUGAUUUCUGUGCCGCGAUUUGCAUAGCACCGUGGCUCGCGUGUUCCCCCGCUAGAAAGAAAUUCGCUUGACGAGACUCUCUGGCCUGAUUCUUUUCCUCCGACUGCCCUCGCAGAGAGAAAAAAAGAAGGAGAAAAAGAAUACACGAGAAAGAAAAGAGUACGCGAUGCCGAGCACUUGCGUCAGAGAUACGUAUCCCACGCUAACGCCGCGAUUAUGACGUUGCCGGCUACUUGCUGCUACCUGAUCGAUAGCGUUGCAACGCGGGCCAGACGACCCAAAACUCGAUCGUUUCUGGUUCUAGGUCCCGAUGAUUUUCGUUAAAAAUUAGUCUCUUUUUUUAUUUUAUUUUAUUAUCGCAAUAUAAUUUGGGGGAAUAUUAAAAGCUGCGGUAUUGCAGUUCGAUUCUUUAAUUGUAAGGAUCUUUAGGAAAUAAAUAUCAUCGAACAAAAUAUUUAUUGUUAAUUAAUUAUUAAUUUUAAUUUAAUUAAUUUCGUAACGCAGGGAUUUCAUAAAUAGAUAGAAAAUUCGUAGUUUUUCUUUGUAAUUAUCGAAUAUACAGUAACAGGUAUCUUUAUUGUAGAUAUUAAGUAUAAUUUAUUGAAGAUACAAGGACAGUCCAAUUUUAGUUUUCAUUGCAGGACUAUCCUAUAGUCAAAGUUGUAUUUGAAAACUCUUUUAAAAAAACCCAAUAACUUCUUUCUCAAAAACUAUAUUAUGAAUUUCAUUCUAUGAAGUAUCCAUGAAAGUAUUUGAACGCAUUUUACCUUCGAAAAUUCUUAUGAAUAUAUCCAACGAAAUUUCAAAAUGUUUCGCAUAACAUGCACGGUAUAUUCGUUUGUAGAAGCGUUCGAAUAAUUUCAUGAGCCACUCCAAUAUCGUAUCGCGAUAGCAGUUCGUGCAAUCGCCUCGAAUUUCAUAAAAUCGUCAAAGUGCUGUUUGGAAAAAAUGUUUUCUCGAUAUGAUACACGGUAAACGCGUGCCUACGCUUGGUGUAUAGCGGCUAUAGCAUAGUCCCGGAGGCGAAAGCGAGACCGUGGGCCCGAGCAAGACGGAAAGAGAAACGGGACCGAGAGAGAAAAGGCAGCCCGGGCACUCGGCUUUCGUUUUCACCCAGCCUACUUGUUAAUCCGGUGAGUCAAUAGUUGUAUAACACUGGAACUACGUUGCGUAACCCAGCGUUGGUUUCCCUGGCGACCUACUUGCCUACUAAACUAGACAUACAUUCUUAUCCACCGGUAAUCCGUCUCUCCCUGACCGUUUCUAGCCUUCUCCGCUUCGCUAUACCCGCCGCGAGAACCGUUUCCUCUCGUGUGCGCCGUGCACGGCCACGCUUCCAUCGACGAGCCGAGACUCGAUCGAUGCCACCUCGAAGGGACGCAACCUGUUACGACACAUGACGAAGUGGACCCUUGUCGUCUCGACCAUACCAACGAAGUUUCGUCUCGGAUCAACGAGAAGAUAUAACCCGCGUCGUGAGACGAAUCUUGAAAGCUUGCGAAACCUUGAAACUGCGACCAGAUCCCUCGGAAGUUAAUUAGACGAUUUAAUACACGAAACCUGUAUGAGAGCGCCACAGCGUACAAUAUGCAUUUCGUACGACGAUAGAUCUUCUAACACAGAUACCUUUUAACUAAACGUUUAAAAUACAUAUUUACAUGUUUUACGCAAACGAAACAUCGAAGAUAAGCAAUCGAUCGAAAGGAAUUUCCGCCUUCUUUACUUUUUCACGGCAGCCGUAUGUUAUUGUCGAACAGAUAUCGAGAAGGAAAAAACGAAAGAAAAAGCGAACGCGGAAACUGUUGCGGUAUCGCGGUUUAUUUUCCGCGAGGUACAGCAAAAACACGAUAACGUUUCCGAUCUGCUGGCGAUACGAUAAUACCAUGAUGGUAAUCUGAAUUUCAUUCAGACCAUGACCCAGGCUAAGAGUGAAAAAUUAUCAACGGCUUCCAUACGUGGCGAGCAAAACUAUAUUCGUGGUUGGUGGCGUGCGUUGCGUAUACACAGGCUCUCAAGGACCCGACGAACCGACAGCCGAGGAGCAAAAAUUCGACUUCAAGGCGGCAGAGUUUAACGGGAGGAAAUUUCACGACACAACCGAAUAUCUUCGACAUGGUUUUCGAUGCUUGCCCGACCUUGGGCCCGAUCGAUUCGAUCCAUUUCGCAGAUAUCGCACGCUCCUGAACACGCUGAUUGCCACAGACGCGUCGCAAAAACCGGCAUCGAUACGUUAUUUCGCGUUCGAACAGAGUUCGAUAGUCGUGACAAUCUCGCGAAGCAACCGCGUGACAAAGUUAUAAGAGAGGAAAAAAAGAACAGAGUAGAAAAAGAAUUACAUUGACCGGCGGUGAAACUGGGACAAUGUGCAAGAGCAUGGAAAAUGAAGUUUCUUUUGCAAAUAUUAGGUCGUAUAUGAAUGGUUUCUUUAGCUCAGGUAAAUGCCGGGGCAUUUACUUUUCAUGAGGGCAAGUUUAAUAAUCGAAGCACAGUAGUAUAUUAGUAAAGUAGAUAUUGAAAUGGUAAAAGUUUCCUAUGCACGUCCUUUGAUAGACCUACCGUGAGUUUGUUUCAACUUUAUUUUAUCUUGCCCGUAAGUUUGCUCUGCUCUCGAUUUUUAAAGUUGCCUUUGGUUAAAAGAAACUUUAGAAAACCAACGAUAAGUUGGUACGUUCGUUAGUACUAACCUGCGUAAAAUUUCUUCUAUCCCACUGCCACCACAUACGCACGUUGAUAACGUGAAAAUUGUACUGUUUCUAUCAAUAAAGCAUGAAAAAUGGAAAAUUUACAAAAAAAAUGUAUAACCGUUUUAACGAAAUAAAAUGCUUGGUUUCGAUGAAUUUCACUGUAAAAGAGCAACUUUUCAACCAGCAACCAACAGGUUGAUCGUUAUAAAAAUUUGUCAAGCAUAAAGAGCCGAUACAAGAAUCAUAUGACCAUAUAGGCGUUCUGUCGAAUGAAUUCACGAAUCGUGAGUCGCAUGUAAUAAAAAACGGAUAAAUAAUAGAAACGUUGAGUCAUUCGAUCUCGGAACCGAUUCACGUGGCGCCCGUGAACGUUAUCUAUCUUAAGCUCGCAUUUAAAUAUAGAGUCCUCGAUGUGUUCCAUAGUCAAUCGUCUCCGGAUUUGAAAAAUCGCGGUGUCACGAAAUCGAUCGCAGAAUGGGGUCAUUGUGGUCACGCAAUUGAAUCGGUUGGAUAAGAAAUAAAACGCACCGGGGUGGACGAUAGAGAAUAUUAUGAAAGCCAAAUCUACCAUAUUUUACGAAAUACCUUCGAUCAGUCGGACCAAUCCACUGAUAUCUUCUUCGUUGCGGUUAAUAAUGGAAAGUUCGGUCGACGUGUGGUAAUCGAUAUAGCGAGAUUGUAAAUUAAAGCGCUUAUUAACGAUAUCUAUCAAUGUAGUCUAUGUAGUAUAUAUGUUGUAGAGAAAUUCCUUAGUUCUCGGAUUAUAAACAUCUAUGUUUGUAACGUUCUAUUAAAAGUGUACGAUAUUAACGUAUAGAUAGUCGCUUUAAUAACAUCGAAGUCCUUUACGUUCCUUUCUGGCUGAGGUAAAUUCACACGGAAGAAUUAUCAGUAACUCCGAGGAAAGAAGAAUUUCUUAUAUUCAUUUCAAUUAAUGAUUCUUGGAAUUCUUCUCUUACGACCCUCAUAGUGUAAAGUGUUAGUAACGUCACGCGUUAAGUACGUAACGUCAACCGUACGUUUAAUGUGUUAAGAUUUUGUUGUCGCUUAUUGAUCAACGGACGUUAGUAAAAUGUAAUUUAGCUAUUAAAAAUUAAACCACAUACUGUUUACAAAAAGAACAAAAAAAGACAAAAUGAUAGUUUGAAGUCAACAUCGUCAGAUGCCGGACAAUGUUUGUAGAAUGUCGGAAACUAUACUUCGUUUAUACUUAUGAUUCUUAAUCUAUUAUACAAUCUCGUCGUAUCUUCUCCAUCUAUUACGCUAUCUGGAUAAUUAUAAACGCACACGCGUGUAACGCAAAUCGUGGGAGGGGUAUAAAGAGAAAGAAAUAGAGAGUGAAAAGAAAGGAAAAGGACUCGCGUGAGUCUGCAACGGCUGACUUAUUAACGCCGGUAUUGAGAUUAAGUUUAUUCAGCAACGAGUAUGCCAUGACACACUAACCAAGUGGUCGAGACCCACUUAAGCUACCGGGUGACCUCCAUUGAAAUGGAAUGGAUGGGGUGAUAGUGCGUGGUGUAUUUAAAGCGUGGUAUACGCAACACUCACGGAAAGCGUCCCGACGCGAGGCCGUCCGCGCUCGAGUGUCCUUCGAUUUUCAAACGGGAAGACCAUUAAUUGCCUGUACGUUGUGCCAGGGCUAUCCGCGAUUCGCGUUGGACCUUCGAGGAAACGACUGUGUUUGCACGGCACGCAAAGUCUUCUGCAAAGGCUCGAUGCAUCCUUCGACCAGCAUAAAGACUAAUCAUUAUCGUAUGGUAUACGUUUACCGUAUUAACGUCGUAUAUCGUUCCGAGGCGUCGUUUCACGAACAUCGUGACUCUUCUUCUUGGAAAUGAUAAGCUGCUCUUGUUGCGAGUUCUACUGGUCGCGAACAACCAGAGAAUAUAAAGAAACUGAUGGGACGAAAGAAAGAAAGAAAGGUAGUACGAUGUAAUUAGAGGACAAUACGAUUUUUACGAGCACAGAUUACAGCUCGAAGGAGCAGAGCAGUUUCACUUUCGACCAAAGCGAAAUCCGUUUAACCCGAAAAUUGGCCAUAGCUGGUUGCUACUCGGCUGGCCAGGAUCUUUGGAACGAGAAAGUCCCGAUAGUUUCGCUGUUUGAAGGCCCGAGGAUAUUACGAUGAAUUUCUGCUUUUACGUAAUCUCCGUCUGGGAAGUCACGUAUUGUCAAAUAUAUACCGAGAGCCUGGUACCCGGUUCGAGUCAAACGGACGAGGAUGAAAGUUACGUUACUCAAGAUAAUACGUUCCACGGUGUUCAAACGUUCGAAAAGAUUUUUAGUAGACCGUAAAAAUCAGUUGAGGAAAUAUUUGAGACCGACGAUAUCAACGUUACGACAUACUUUUCGUUUCAAACGUGUUCCUUCUUUUAUUUAAUCGAAUUGUUUUCCAUCGAUCGAGAAUCAAUUCGAUAAAAGAUCUUUCGCGCGAGAUCCACCGUUUCGCAACUUUUCGAAUUCCUUCAUUCGAAGAUAUUCGAAUUCAGAGGCAGAAAAAGAAACGAAAUUAAUGAAUAUGAUAAGAAAAUGUUUGCCGAUUCGAUAAAGGAGAGAGGGAAAAUCUAAAGGGGAAGAGGAAAAUCGUCUGGAAUCCUUAGAUAUCGUGUGUCGCGAGGUACAUUAGCUAACUGGGUACGUAUACAUUUCUUACGCAAACUAGCGAAAGUAGGCGGGUGCGAGAGCCGCUCGGCAACGGACACACCAGCCAGCCAGUCAGACGGCCAGCCACACACGUAGCACCGAGGCGAAAGAUACGUGAGAGCGCGUGUAUAUGUUUUCGAGCCGGUUGGGUUGGGAAAAGGGUUGCGAAAGCCUGCCGAAAGCGCCUCCUUCGCACCGAAAGCGAGAGUGGAGAAGGCCUGGGCCGAGUCUCGAAACGGCCUGCCGGAGACAUAUCUGGGGCCUGUACGUUCCCAACAGGCCUUAAUUAACACGUGCUCAGGCUACGUGAGUUAUUUAUAUCGCUCGUGAUCGAAGGGAACCGUAUAAUUGCCCCAAGUUCUCCUCGUCUAGGGAAUUUUUCAUUUGUCCCAUAGAAAUCACUCUGCUCGAUCAGCAUUUUUUUCUUUUCUUUCUUUUAGCGAAUUUUUUCAGAAAUAUUGGUAUGUUGUAUAACGUACUAUAUGUGUGAAUUUUAUUUUUAUUUUUACUUAAUUCUUUUAGUGUUAUAAUAGAAUUUAUUUAUUAUAUUAUAUUAUUAAAUAAAUUAUAUUUUAUUAUUAAUAUUAUUAGAUAAAGCACUAUUUUUAUGUCAUAGGAAUUUAGCUGCGUGCUCUAUACAAAUUACCGUGGAAAUUUCUUUUGGGAACAUCUAACAUUUUUUAUUUGUGUUCCAUGUAAUUGUAAGUUGUUGGUAUACGUAAAUAACGUAGAUUUGCAAUAGAUUCUUUGAUGCAAUACAGUUUCCAUUGUAAUAACAACGAUUCCUAGUUACGAAGUUUGUAUUUGUCCCCAUGCAAAAUUAUUGUACAAUAUUCUCAUUCUCAUUUAGCACAUAUAAAUAGAUAUAUCUUAAACAAAUAGAACAGUAGUAAUUAUCUCCUCUUAGUUCUAACAAAUUCGCCCUUGCGAAGAUUAAAUUGAUCGUAAUGCGACUAGUAACCAAAGGAAUCGCUGAUCGUAAAUCAACGAAUGAUAAUAAACAAUGGAAAUUUUUCGAUAUGACAAUCAUUUCCAUUUAAGUCUAUUAGAAGAAAGGUUCGAGAUUCAAAGGAAGUUUCGGUGAACUCCGGUUAUUAUGCAUAUAAGUACGUAUGUUGUAAGACGAGUCGAACAGGAAACAUGCCGAGGAAAUUAACUGGAAGGGAAUGAGACUUAAUACGAGCUUGCUAAGCGUGGGACGCCGGGAACACGGUUUUUAUUCUCGCUUCUUCUCCCGAUUCGUAGGGGAAAAGGAAAGUUCGAGGCUGGCAUUGAAGCAGGCCACGGGGAAGACCAACACGCUAGGCUGGAGAGGAUGUGUAAUGCGGUUUAGAUCGUGGACCAUGACCAAGUGAUAGUGACUUCAAGAAUCAGCUGGCGCGCGGCUCAAUGAGGUUACGCCGCAUUUAAAUUGCGUUCCAUUUUAUGACGGUUGUACGGAAACGGUUCGCUGACGUGCUGCGCUCGAACCACGAGAACGUCGCGCCGUUGGCCAGUCGUUUCACGUAGCCGGCGCGAUUCGCUUGCAUAAAUCAUUAGAAAGUUAUUGAAACGCGUCGAGGGCGAAUUCACGCGACGAGUCCAGCACCAACGAGUAUCAUUUUGUAACGCGUGUCGUUCGUUUCUUUCGUCGAGGCGAGCGCGAGGGAGAAGAGGAUUGCGCAAGAGGUAACGGUCGUGGUAAUAAUGCGACCGAGUCUGAGAAAUCCACAGGUGACAAAAAAGACAGGCUACGAGCGUUUUUACGAGUUUCUAACUGCCCCUCGGAUCUUUCAAUUUCUUACGCGCCAAAGAAACCGGCCGUUUGUUUUACGCCGCUCCUUCUUUUCCCUGUUAGCACCGAUCGAAAUUUAUCUAACGAUCUGAGUCGCCUUUUGCCAACCUAUAUUACAGUAUUUUCUCAGUUAAUAUCGAUUAAGAUGUAACCGCGAUACAAUCCGCUUUUCACCGGUUUCGCUUCGUUUUAUCAAUUACCGCCGAUUGUUAUCUACCUAACGACCCCACGAAUUUAUUUUUCAUCGUUAUUCUUAUUACUAAAAAUCUACAUUUAGAUAAGUGCUAUCCAUAUUGGUCAUUCAACAUCGUGUUCGCAAACUAAGGACGAUAAUAAUAAAAAAGAAAUGUAUAGAAGAAGAUAAGACGCGUCUAGGCGUACCUUGACGCCUUUCGGGAGCGGCGUUUACGCGAAGCGUCUCCGAUGGCCUUUAUUUCCAAUAGCACCCUGUGUUUGCAUGCGCCACGUAACAAUCACAUCGAUAUAUCCCUCAAAGAGAUAAAAAGCAUCGCGUCCUCGCCGGAUUCGCGCUAAAACGCGGGACGACGCGAUGCCUGCGCCGAGUGCGCGGGAGAGGUGCGAGAAGGCGCUGCUGCGUCCACGUACACGCGACCGAGGGAGUAGGACGCACGGACGUGCGGAGGGAGGGCGGGUGGGAAGGAGGGUAGGGGAGGAGGGCGGGAGGAAUAGUGGGGAAGGGUGAGCCCGGUGGGAGGCAAGGAUUCGUGUCAUUGUCAGUGGGUAAUCAGGUCAGUGGGCCAGUGGGACGACCACUUUCAAUUUCAGUCCUUCUAGCUGUGCAACUCGCCGUGCCGCGCGUCGCGCGUUAUCUCGCGCUCUCGCUCUCCGUCUCCCUCUUUCUCCCCGCGGCAGCGAUACGUGCGUCUCUUUUGCCUCGCGAUGUUCACGCGACUCUAUUCGCUGUCCGUGUCGUUUCUGUGCUGUUUGUUAAUAUCGCGGUACAUACAUACGUACUGGUAGCUCCGUGGUUCCUCUCGAGGGCGUCGUGGUUACCGGUAGAGGGAGGCAAAGAGGGUGUAGUGGAGGGGGGGAAGUACAGGCGCGAAGUCGUAAACGUGGCAGAAGUAUGAGUCGCGAGAAAAAGAAGAAGGAUGCAAGAGGGAAGAGGGGGAAGUCCUGACACGCGCCAAUCACAUCAUGCUUCUUCGGUUGCAAACGUGUACCGAGCAGUACGCGGUUGAACAGAAAGAAGAGAGAGAGAGUGAUAGGGAGAGUGACAGGAUGGCGGCAUGCGGGACAAAGGGCGAGGGGAAGGAUGAUGCACGCGCGAUCGCGCUAGCUCGCUCGCCCGACGGCGCUCGCUCGUUCUCUCGCACGGACGCCGGGAAAGAUAGCAGAAAGUAGGACGCGUAUUAAAAACCACAGACCGUGUCCCGUGGCGUCACUUCUCGUGCCUCGCCGCGGCGCGUCGGUAUUACCCAAUCGAAUUCAUCAUAACUGGCACGAGAAACGUACGAGCGAACAAAUGAACGAACGAAUCGACGGACAUAUGGAGACAUGGACGAGUUGUCGAAUUGAAAAAGAGAAAGGGAGGGGGGAGAACUAUACGACGUAUAAAAGAGAGAGUGUUUAGCCGAGGAGAAGAAACGAGUCACUUCCUCUCAUUAUUGCAUUCUCAAACGAAAUUUUUGCACGCACAAGUUCCAGAGAAAUAUUACCCGAGUGCUAAAUUUAGCGACUGAUCGAAACGAGACCAACGCCGUGGUGCGGCGAUCGCGGGAAUUAUAAAAGGUGUGAGCGCGCCUCUUCCGCUCGAAUCAAUGAUCCUUAAUUACGUUUGAAAAUUAAGCUGACGCCAAAGUAUCGCGCAACGAGUAAAUGAAUUUUCCUAAGGAAUUAGGUCAUACCCUUGAAGGGUUAUUCGUGAAAGCUUAAGGAAUGUCGGCGUCGACUAUACACGCUUCAUCGACUAUUAUUUGACGACGUUUAUGUAAGUACGAUCUGAUCUUCCAAUAUAAGCUUACAAAUCCACCAGGAUUUCGUCUUUUCGGCGUAAACAAAUUUAUAUCGGACAAGAUCGAAUCUGUGACCUAAGAAAUCGAUCGAAGAAACGGAGAACGUUGUCGUUUGCGUAUCGAACGCUCGUAAAUUUACCAAACUAUAUCGAUAGAGGUAAACAAAAGUUAGAAAGAUGGUUCCCUUCUCUUAAAACUAUUACACCAGCCUAUUCAACGCGCAUGGCUGAAUAAAUCGAACGUUUCCGCGAUGCUAAACAUUUUAACACCCCGGCUACUUUGAAUGUCGCGCGCAUGCGCCCAGUAGUACGGAUAGCAAUUCUUAUAUGCGAUCCUUUGGGCAAGCUUUUAGAUGUUGAUACCAUUGGGAGGGCGCCACAAGUUAGGAGAAGCAAUUUGGCGAUGCGAGAUAUGUACACUUAUAUGGUCUACUUUUCGAAGUCGGACCGCGUAGACGCGACUCGAGCGCGCAUUCAAAUACGUCUUGCUUUGCAUUUGCAAGUACAAUGAAAUUAUGCAAGCGUGUUAUAUUGCAAUUAUAUGUACUCGCAAUAAAUCGGUAAUAACGGAAUAAUAGCCGUUACUAAUACACCGGGAAUGCGAGCUGGGAUAUUUCCAACGGCAUACAUUUAGUAACGGUGAUCAUAACACGAAGACUUACGAUCCAAUAAUACAAUUUGUAAUACGGUACUACAGAAAAAAAUGGUUUUUACAAUUACUUUAAAAAGGGCACAUUAAGAAUAAAUCUGUUAUACUUAUUACAUAUACAGAAAUAAAUCUGUUAUACUUAGACUGCGAACGUUUAUGCAAUUUUAUUUUAUUAUGGAAAAUUGUAAUGUACAAUAACAUAACGUAAUAUAGACGAUAUACAUAAUAUAAGAGUGAGCACGAUAAGAAAGAAUAUAUGCAAUAAGAAAAUAUGCAAAGCGAUACACCUGUCGUAAUAUUUAAAGACCAAACCUAAUUUCUCUUUACAAUUUACAUAAACAUUUACAGUCUAGUUAUAACUAUUUUAGGUCUUGUCAAUGAAUUAUGUAAUUCCAUACAAUUAAAAGUAAUAAACGCACUUUAAUAAGAUGAGCAGCAUAGCUGAAACUGAUUUGUAAAACCAGUGGAAUUCGAAAAACCGGAAUUCGAUCGUACCAUGAUUACGAUACAAGAGGGUAAAAGGUGACGUGGACGCGAGGGAUGAAGGUUCGGCACCGAUAAAUUCGCCAACGUAUCUGUACCGGUGUUGUAGCCCGCUGGGGACGUUGAAUAAUAAUUAUUGUUGUUGGCUCGGCUUGGGUGUUAUUGAGUUAUUCCAAUGCGAGUUUAUCAAAGUGGGUCAAGCGAUUCAAUAGCGACCGCCGUGGAGGAGAAACGACCCAUCGUCUUAACGUGGCGUGGGAGUGUACGUAUAGCAGUAGAAUAACGUGCACACGAUCAAACACACACCGGCAAACGCUACCGAAUUGGUACACGUAUAAAAAGUGACGAACAACCAGACCGUAAAAUCGGCACCACUAUUACGAGGAACAAUUACAACGAUGAUAUCUCGUUUCUUUAUAUUAUUCGAAGAAAAUUGGUGGAAAAGAUUGGAUUAAUUUACUCGGAGAAAAACAGGGACGCAGGAGAAACAGAAUUCGUGAAACGUAAAAUCGUUAUCUAAUUGAAAUCGUGGAAAAAACAAAUGUUGAUUCGGAGCUUGGUGCGAGUUAUAAUCUCAGUAACGAUUCCGUAGACGAGAGAGAGAGAGAGACUAAUUAUCCGGCUUUCCAUUAACAACAGGUAGAACGACGGACGAGCCAUAAAUUCCUGUAGGAAAGCGAGGAAACCGGAUUUUCUUCGCUCUUGGUGAGAGUUGGGACAACACUGUCGAUUGUUGCAUAAUAGGGACAACGAGGAUAAGAGACGCGUGUCCUCGGUCAGACUGGCAAUAAACAAACAAGGAAUAUUUGACUGAGAUGUCACGGGUAAAUAAGUAAACUGACGACAAGUAAAAAUACAGCCCAAGUCCCGUGGAGAGAACCGAAGUCACGAGUCACGAGAGAACCGAAGAAAGUGAAGAAGGUCGCGUGUCUAUAUUGGAGGAUCGCUUUCGAAGUCACCGGAUGAUAUUGUAAAAAGAAGCGAAGAAUUAUUAAGGAAGUUUGCCAUCAUUCACGCUACGCGUGUAAUUUACAUGUUAUUUAACCUUCCGUAAGCAAACUGGGUUGGUUAUGUCCGAAUGUUUUUUUACUGUUAUUUAUUAUUAUAUUAUUACAUUAUUAUUUUACUGUUUCCGACUUGGAAAAGAUCCUGAAGCUAUCCUGAAAUAGUUAUCAAUGUUUUUACUACGCCAAAUGUUUGAAAUAUUCCUCAAUAAAAAUAGACAUUCUUUUUGGAGAAAUUGUAGAAUGAAAUUUAAAUUAGAUUCUCAACUACUCGGUUUGCCUACGAAAGAUUAAAUGUACUAAGAAUACGGAUAUCGAAAAUGAGACUUCAGGGGAAAUAACUGUUUGCAGGGUAUCACAGGAUUAUAUUAUUCCUUCCAAAACCGUAUGGUAUUGAAUCGUCACAGAUUCGAAUAUGUGUACUAAGCAUACUUUCGCACUAAUCAACCAUUUUAGAUAUGGUUAGUUUCAACGUAGUUACACGGCUUAAUGCAACAAGAAUCAAUUGUACAUAACCACUUGAAGUAACCACGUAGAAAAGAUUGUAUUACGAAAUGUCUUGUACAGAAGUUCUAUAUGUCUCGAAACGCAUGCACGAUGCGCUCGCAAAAAGGGUAGUACCUAAAGAAUAUGUAAAGCAGGUUAAACGAUGUAUCGGAGACACAGCCUUGAAUAUUCAUGAAUACUGAACAACUUUUUUGGAAUGGUAUCACAUUUAAAUUCCAUUCGUCCUCUGGUACCGCGUUCUCCGCUCUAUUUGUAAGCCUGCACUUUGCACUUUGCUUAACACACGCGUUUCCUAUUGUUGUUACGAUGUUCAAAAAUUAUUUCCUAUCAUUUUCCAAGGGAAACAAUAUCUAGCGUAAAAAAAAGAAGGGACCUUGGAUAAAAUUUGCACCUGUGCCCUGUAGGUCUAUUUCGCACCCCUUACUGUGCGAAUAAUCGUGAUUUAUUGUGUGCAAACAGCGGACCCAACCUCUAACGGAAAUGCAACAAGUGAAUUUCGACACAGCAGGUAGAUGUUGACGUGGUCUAUUGUCGGGAAGGGUGUAUACAUCGUUGAAGGAACUGACCCCAUCCACUCGACAAGGGAUUGCGACGAAUUCGUGCCGGCCACGUGCCGCCACGCUUACGAAACCCCGGGAAAGCUGCAAUCCCUUUUUCUAUAACAUUUUUACUACUCGGAACGGUACAUAGCAGAAGUAAAAGUGACAGUCAACUUUUAUGGGACUAAUACUUUACCUCUGACUAACAAGGGCAGGAGGACAUCCACGACAAUGGUCAUUGUUACUCGUCAUAUUUUUUCGAGAGAAGACUCUAUUCGGAGUGAAAUACGAUCAUUAUAAAAUUACGAAAAUUGUCACCUUGAUUCUACGACGAUAGAAUGAUACUGGUAAGGUUGCUUUUGAUCCGUGGAGGAAGGAAAAAUACGAAAAAAUUGCGUAGUCGUAUUUUCUUACACUACCACUGAAAAGUAUUUGGCCACUUUUUCUUUAAAGCUUAACUAAGUAAAGGUAUCGCUUAUUUUUCACGUAAUUUAAUUAAAAAGAAAUUACAAAUAAAAAUUACGUAUUCACAAAUAAUGUCUACAUUCUGUGGGUAUUAUUAUUUUAUCGUCACUAUAUAUAAGGUUACCUUUAUAUAACCAAUACAUGUGCAAUGAAAUGUUGGCAUCCACGAGAAUAAACGUAACCCUAACCAAGUUAUGACACAAUUUUUGAACAAAAUUUACGAAACAUUCCGGUGAAGCUAUUUAUCGCCGGACUAACUUCAAGUUUCUAAAAUACAGAUCAGAUAGAUUCUUAUAAACUUGUAUCAUAUUUGACUCAAGCAAUAACGUUUCAAACUAACAGAUACAUCGAUGAAUUUCGCGUUUGAAAUUUUAAUACAUUGUCGAUCGAUUUUCAAACAAUUGAUAAAAUGUAUUAUUUGUUGAUUCGCUAAGAAGAUAAAUCCGUUAAAAUGUCGGGAAACUAUGGAAAAUUUGAAAGUGGCAAAAUGCACAGAAUACGCAUAAUUCACAAGGCUAUACAAAAUACUUGAAAUAUUCGUAUACGGCUAAUUAUAAUAUCUAGCGCUAGAAAUAAAUGAAUUUGUUUAAGUCUUAUCUCCUCAGUGGCAUUCACAAAAAUGUAAAUUCGCGUAAACAUCCACAGUCUAGUCGUAGGUGAUAGUGUAGGUUAGAUCGCAAAAUCAUUUUCAUUUUCGUCGAAAUGAACUCGACUCUCGGCCGUUUGUCCGAUUUUAGAACUCUCUUUUAACGAAGCAAAGGGUCGAGAUGAGUCUGUUUAUAGAGAGAGAAAUUUCGAGCGUUCGUGUCCCCUUUGGGUUUGUCUGGUUCGCGAAGCGUGUCGUCGGGGUCCGGAUGAAAGUAAAAGUAAAAGUACCGAGAACGGGCGCCAAAGUACACGUGCACGUGUGUACCGCGAUCUGGUCGCGUGAAACGCGACCGUCGAAGGAGGACGCGGCUCGCCACCCGUUUUUCCGACCUUUGAAAUCGUACAGACGCAUUUCUAGAAUGGCACUACGACGUUCGCCGAGUGCUUUCACCAGUGUCGAUGCGCGUCUUGAGCUCUCUGACGUAACCAGUUUCACUGGAACGCGUCUCUCCCAUAACACAGACCUAAUUUUUAAUCGACGUCAACCUGUUUCCAAGCGAUUACACGAUGCAGCUCGUCAAGGUGACGAUUAAGCAAUUACCAAAAUUAAGGCUUCCGGAUGCAAGUUGUUCGUAUUCUAAUUUUUUCUAAAUACUACUGUUAAUAUUAUUAUUCAUAUAUACAGAGUAUUUGUCGCGUUUUUCUCACGAAUAGUAGAUUUAUGAACAAAGUUGAAAGAACAAAGUUUUACUAUCUUUUAUACAAUAGUUUGAAUAGAUCUUCUUUCAUUUUUCUUCGCUUGCACGUAUUAAAGAAAUUAUGAAUGUUCUUAAAUUGCUAACGAACCUUUUUACAGUGCAUCGUGAAUGUAAAUAUGAAUUUAAUAUUUUUCUUACAAAUCUAUCGUUUACGAGGUAAAGGCUAAGGCCGGGUGCGGACGAGCGACUUUUUGACGUUGCAUUUUUACUGCAUCGUAUGUCUGUCCCCGUCAUGUUUAACUGGGAAAACAAGGACAGACGUAUGACGCAGCGAGAACGCAGCAGGAAAAAGUCGCCUGUCUGCACCGGGCCUAAUAGCACGAACUUGUAUGUAUUAAUGUAUCAUUCGAUAAUAAUUUUGAUCUCUGACGAAACUGAAACUUUCAGAAUAUUUCUUUGAAAAGGGUAUGAAACGAGAGUCACAAUUUUAAAGAUUGUAUGAUAAUUGACUAUGAACGCCAUGUAAAGAAGGCGAUGAAUUUUACAAUAGGAAAGGAACGUGUGAAAAUCGAAAGAAAAAAACGUUAUCGAAUCUUUGCAGCCGAGUCGGAAAGAUAUUUCCGGUUGAUAAUUCCAUAUCAUUUCCUAUGUUAUCUGGUGCACCGCUAAUUUUACAAGUAUAUCGCUCGCGAGUUAUAGCAGAUUGUGUAACUUUUUAAUAUCAGGAAAAAGAGAGAAAAUAGCUGUUUUAUAUCUUUCUAUCUUACUUAACGAACACUCUAUUAAAUCCAUUCGAAAUAGAACUAACUAGUCACAGAUCGAGUAUACGAAAUUAGAAAUAAAGAUAGUAAUUCGUAUUUUAAUAUUACGAAAGUUUCUUAAGAAUUGUUACGACGAAUAUACAUAUCCGUAUUCUUAUGAGCAACCUAAGCAGAAAUUUAUUUCGCCUAUUAAACGUUAUAACGAGUAUUACAUUUUAAAUAUUUUAUAUACGUUUGCAUAUUAUAUGCAGUUUGCAAAUUUCGCAAACAAUCCAAUGAUAACUUAUGUAAAAGGCAACUGUAGCUUGACUAUACGUUCGAAAGAUACUUGGCAAGAGUCGCGUAACGUUUCAUAGACUCUUUCCCAUUCUUUUCAGGUGGUUGGUGAUCAAGCUGGGCUCUGUAUCGCGGACGAAUUGCCACGCUCGAGUAGAUUUAACACCGGCUGCGCAAGUACCGGUAGCUGUUCGAAACGGGAGCGUUAAUUGUAAACGCGGCUAAAGGGGGCGCGGGACAAAGAACGAACAACGUGACGGAAAAGAAAAAAAGAAAAAAGAGAAGGCGGAGAACAAAAAGAAAUGAAAGACGAGAAAAACAAACGAAAUAGAACGGACGAUCGUAAGCCGAGAAAAUAGAGUGCAAACUGCCCUUGACGCGAACGAGAAGCAGAGCUUGUAUCUUUGUAACGAGCCCGCGUAAUCGCGCAAUGCCGCCAAUGCCACAAUGCAGCUAAUUAUCAGCAUUAAUGCUGGCGAGAGUCAUGAAUAUUCAUACUUGACAUCUUUAUCGAGCAGCGGGAAAUUGGAGUCGUUAUACGCGGGCCUCCUUUUUGACCCACCUAUCCACGCGAAUCGAUAUGUUAAGGAAAUUAAAACUUCUCCCCUUCUAUGUAUAUGUAUAUACCUAUGUACAUGUACAAUUUUCUUCAAUCUCAUGUAAAAUAUAGCGUGAGCCAGAAUAGUUGUAGAGAUUAGAAGAAAGAAUGAAUGUAUGAGAAAGAGUGGAGGAGUGGACUUGUGCGAAUGACAAAGGGGGAGUGUGCAAUUAAAUUAUAAGAUUAAAUUUAUAUAAUUAGAUAUAGAGUAAAUAGAGUACAGUUAAGUGUAAGUUUAAGUGUAUAUAUAUAUUAUAUAUUUAUUUACAUUAUAUAUUUCAUAUUAUAUA